rnacentral:Y_RNA from 1 species
GGCUGGUCCGAAGGUAGUGAGUUAUCUCAAUUGAUUGUUCACAGUCAGUUACAGAUUGAUCUCCUUGUUCUACUCUUUCCCCCCUUCUCACUACUGCACUUGACUAGUCUUUU